GCCAGCCAUUACAUAAUUGAAAAGUAGCAGAACCUUUAAGAGAGCUGGGACCUAGUAGAAUGGAGUUAGGUUAUUGGAAGAUGUACUUGAAGCAGGUAUAGGGCUGCAACCCUGACUCUCUUCUCUAGGGCUGAGCAGCUUUGCUCCACACUCUGUACCAUGGACAUGGAGUUCAAAUGCACCAUAAACUCCAAAGCAACACCUCUGAAAACAUGAACCAAAAUAUGACUGUUGUUUUUAAAAGCACAUAUCAUUAAUUCUGACAACGCAUUUUGAUCAUACUCACACUCCAGACUCACUCCUCCCAGAUCCACCUUUACCUCUCCAGCCAUCUGUAGCAGGCUUUCUCAGAUGGCCAACAAAUCAAGACAUGGAGACUUAAUAUUAGUUAUGAAAGCUCGGCCUUAUCUUAUGCUUGUCCCACUAGCUCUUAUAACAUAACCAACCUGUUUUUCUUCAUCUAUAUUUUGUCUAGAGGCUUCUUACUGUCCUUUCAUUCUGUAUGUCAUACUUUCACUGUUUUCCUCCAAUACUGUCUGUCUGUCUGUCUGCUGCUUGGCUGACUGGCCUAGGGCAUCUCCCUCUCUUUCUCCCCUGUUUUCUUCUCUCUCCAGCCUCUAGAUUCCUCCUCCUUUUUGUUCUCUGCCCUCCAACCCUGCCUAUUCCUCUACUGCCUAGCUAUUGGCCAUUCUGCUUUUCUAUUACACCAAUCAGGUACCUUAGACAGACGAGGUAAAGCAGCAACACAUCUUUACAUAACUGAAGACAUGUAACAGAAACACAGGCUACACAUCUUUACCUGGUUAAAGUGCUAUUCCUCAACACCCCCCAGCUUCAUGUUCUCACUCAUUUGUUUUCAAUCACAUUGAGUACAGUUUGUGUUACUCUUCAGUAGGAGAUCUGCUUUAGAGAGUGGUCAACCUACCAUUAAGGUCACACCCUUAAAAAAACUAAUUCUCCUCUCUAAUCAAAUUGGUAUCAAAUGCCAAUAUCUGCUCAGCUAAAAGUAGGACUUCAUGCCAACCUCCAGCUCCAUGCUGAGUUUUUGUCUGGUAAAGAGCUGUCACAAUCCCUGUGCAUUCAUAUGGACAUCUGCUUGUGUCUAGAAAAUACGGUUUCUCAACCUAGAUGCCCUUCAAUUGAAGAAUGGAUGAAGAAAGUAUGGAAUAUAUACAUAUUAGAGUACUACUCAGCAGUAAAAAACAAGGACUUCUUGAAGUUUGCAGGCAAAUGGAUGGAAAUAGAAAACACUAUCCUGAGUGAGUCCUACCAUCAAGUUCUGGAGGCUGGUAGCCAAGAGCAGUGGCAAUAGCCUGAAACGUUUGAGGAUCUGUGCGACUCCACGGGCCAACAUCUCAAAAAGAGUAUGUCUUUGUCAGAACCCCAAGAAUGGAGUCCCGCGAAUAGAAUUCUGAGUGCUUGUGAAGAACCUCCAAGAAAACAAAGAGUCUUGUGACCUCAGUUUCUUCAAAACCAUGAAAUUGUUCUUGUAGUGUCUGCAUGCCCCUCCCGGGUGCAGCAGUUCAGAGUGAGUUUACUGUAGGUCAUUCAUCACAGCUGGCUGUUGUUACUUGUUUAUAUGUCUCUAUGGGGAAACAUGUUUUUGUCAUGUUUGGCUUGUCUUUGUGAUGGUACACUUUACUCAUGUGAUUCUUAACCCUCAGAGUAUAAAUUGUCUGAUGCUCUGAAUAAAGUUGGCUACUGCAUGAAACUUUA